rnacentral:rRNA from 1 species
AGUGAACGCUGGCGGCAUGCCUUACACAUGCAAGUCGAACGGUAACGCGGGGCAACCUUGCGACGAGUGGCGAACGGGGGAGCAAUGCAUCGGAACGUGCCUGGUAGUGGGGGAUAAGUGCUCGAAAGAGCAGCCAAUACCGCAUACGACGUGCAGGUGAAUGGGGGGGAGCGCAAGCCCGCUCGCUAUCAGAGCGGCCGAUGUCGGAUUAGCUAGCUGGUGGGGUAAAGGCCCCCAAAGGCAACGAUCCGUGGCAGGUCGGAGAGGACGACCAGCCACACUGGGACUGGGACGCGGCCCAGACUCCUACGGGAGGCAGCAGUGGGGAAUUUUGGACAAUGGACGCAAGUCUGAUCCAGCCAUACCGCGUGCGGGAAGAAGGCCUUCGGGUUGUAAACCGCUUUUGUCAGGGAAGAAAUCUUCUGGGCUAAUACCCUGGGAGGAUGACGGUACCUGAAGAAUAAGCACCGGCUAACUACGUGCCAGCCGCCGCCGUAACAC